AUGUGGAACCCACAGAUAUGGAGGGCCAAUUGUACACAUAGCAGUCCACAGGUCUGCACUGGCUGGUGUCUGGAGACGUGGGCUCCUCACCACAUGGGAUCUCCCCAGAGCUGCUUACCACAUGGCAGCUGGCUUCCCAGAGCAAGGAAUACAAGGGAGAGGAAGAGAGAGUCUCCAGUAUGGAAGCCACAGUCUUUAGAACUUAAUAUCGCAAGUGACACGACACCACUUCUGCUGUUACUGUUUGUGACUAGUGAGUCGCUAAAUCUGGCCCACAGCAAAAGAGAAGGGAUUUCUCAAGGGUGUGGAUGCCAGAAGGUGAGAAUUACCGGAAGCCAUUUUAGAGGCUGCCUACCUACUGCUUAUACAAAACAUUACUUUAUAAUGUACCUUUUUUGUUGUUUAUUUAUUAGAGAUAUAAUUCAUACACCACAAAAUUUACCAUUCGCCCAUUUUAAAGUGCACACUUCAGUGGUUUCUAGUAUAGUCACAAGUUGUGGAAACACCACCACUUAUUCCAGAACAUUUUCAUCACCCCAUGAAGAAACUCUGUGCCCAUUAGCACUUACUCCCCAUGCCCUUCAUGCCCAACCCCGCCAACCAUUAGUCUACUUUCUGUCUCCAUGGAUUUGCCUACUCUGGACAUGGCCUAUAAACGCAGAUAAAUGCAUAUACAUGCAAUAUCUGGAUAUUACAUAUAUGUACGCAUAUGAAUUGCAUGCAUUAGUGGCCUUUUUUCCUGGCUUCUUAGCAAUAAUGUUCUCAAGGUGCAUCCACGUUGUAGCAUGUAUCAGUACACAUUCCUUUUUAUGGCAAAAAAAAAAUUCCGUUGUAUGGAUAUACCACAUUUUGUUUAUCCAUUUAUCGGUUGAUAGACAUUCAGAUUGUCUCUCUUUUUUGGCUAUUAUGAAUCAUGCCGCUAUCAACAUUCAUGUACAAGUUUUUUGUGAAAUUAUGUUUUCAAUUUUCUUGGGUAUAAACCUGGCUGGUCGUGUGGUAACUCUAUGUUUAACUUUUGGAGGAACUGCCAAACUAUUUUCCAAAGCUGCUGCAUCAUUUUACUUUCCCACCACCAAUGUAUGA
rnacentral:lncRNA from 1 species